rnacentral:rRNA from 1 species
AGAGUUUGAUCAUGGCUCAGAGCGAACGUUAGCGGCGGGCCUAACACAUGCAAGUCGAACGAGAAAGUUCCUUCGGGGAUGAGUAAAGUGGCGCACGGGUGAGUAACACGUAGGUAAUCUACCCUCAGGCGGGGGACAACGUUCCGAAAGGAGCGCUAAUACCGCAUAAGACCACGGCCUCUGCGGGGGCAGUGGGAAAAGGUGGCCUCUCCAUGGAAGCUACCACCGGAGGAUGAGCCUGCGUCCCAUCAGCUAGUUGGUAGGGUAAUGGCCUACCAAGGCGAAGACGGGUAGCUGGUCUGAGAGGAUGAUCAGCCACACUGGUACUGGAACACGGACCAGACUCCUACGGGAGGCAGCAGUGAGGAAUAUUGGGCAAUGGGCGCAAGCCUGACCCAGCCACGCCGCGUGAGUGAUGAAGGCCUUCGGGUUGUAAAGCUCUGUGGGGAGGGACGAAAACCCAUGGUUCGAAUAGGGCCGUGGCUUGACGGUACCUCCUUAGCAAGCACCGGCUAACUCUGUGCCAGCAGCCGCGGUAAGACAGAGGGUGCGAACGUUGCUCGGAAUUACUGGGCGUAAAGCGCGUGUAGGCGGACUGUUAAGUCAGGUGUGAAAUCCCUGGGCUCAACCCAGGAACUGCACUUGAAACUGGCAGUCUUGAGUGAUGGAGAGGGAUGCGGAAUUCCCGGUGUAGAGGUGAAAUUCGUAGAUAUCGGGAGGAACACCAGUGGCGAAGGCGGCAUCCUGGACAUUGACUGACGCUGAGACGCGAAAGCGUGGGGAGCAAACAGGAUUAGAUACCCUAGUAGUCC